GACGAACGCUGGCGGCGUGCUUAACACAUGCAAGUCGAACGGUAAGGCCCUUCGGGGUACACGAGUGGCGAACGGGUGAGUAACACGCGGGUGAUCUGCCCUGCACUUCGGGAUAGGCCUGGGAAACUGGGUCUAAUACCGGAUAGGACCACUGCCUGCAUGGGUGGUGGUGGAAAGCUUUUGCGGUGUGGGAUGGGCCCGCGGCCUAUCAGCUUGUUGGUGGGGUGAUGGCCUACCAAGGCGACGACGGGUAGCCGGCCGUAGAGGGUGACCGGCCAGAGUGGGACUGAGAUACGGCCCAGACUCCUACGGGAGGCAGGAGUUGGGAAUAUUGCACAGUGGGCGCAAGGCUGAUGCAGCGACGCCGCGUGAGGGAUGACGGCCUUCGGGUUGUAAACCUCUUUCAGCACCGGCGAAGCGCAAGUGACGGGAGGUGCAGAAGAAGGACCGGCCAACUACGUGCCAGCAGCCGCCGUAA
rnacentral:rRNA from 1 species